ACUUUAGUGGUCCCCACGUCCUUGAUUUGGAAAGGAAUUGUGAAUAACUAAAAUGGAGCCACAAUACUUUCCAAGUAACAAAAGUUGUAGCAAUGGCCGGGCGUGGUGGCGCACGUCUUGAAUCUUAGCACUUGGGAGGCAGAGGUAGAAGGACCCCCCUGAGUUCAAGGCCACCCUAGUGAGUUCCAGGUCAGCCUGAGCUAGAGUGAAACCCUACCUCGAAAAGAAAAGAAAAGUUUAGCAGUGAAUGGGGAAGGGAAGCACGAAGACUUCUAAUGCCAAGUACUGAAGCACCUAGAAAUCACAGCUUUCUAUACCACCUAGCACAGCCGCCUCCCGCACAGGGAAUCACUAGUCCAGGCUGAUCUGCCCUAGUCUGCUCCAACAUCAGGAACCCACCUCAGCCUCCUCUGCUGCAACUAAAGGUUACACUACCACACUCGGCUCAGACCAUGGCUUUUACAAAGAUUUUUAAAAAAGUGUAUAAAAACUAUUCACAAGCCAGCUGCCCCAUGAGCCUCAGUUUACCCACAACUGAGGUCCACCCCCCGCCCGCCUGCCCACCCUGAGUAGGGUCUCGCUCUAGUCCAGGCUGACCUGGAUUACACUACGUUGUCGUCUCCGAGUGGUCUCGAACUCAAGGCGAUCCUCCUACCUUUGCCUCUGAGGCUGUAAUUAAAGGACUGCGCCACCACGCUAGCUGAGGUCCACUCAUAGUCGAUACGUUUGCUAUGGAUUUGCCAGAGCGAGAUAUUAUGCUAGAAUCUUUGCUGCAUAGUGUCUUUAGUUUUUACUACGAUCACCUAAAGUGAGAACAAGACACUUAGACCUAGAAAGAUGAAAUGGCUGAUUCAGGGAUGCACAGUGUCGGGGAUAGAAUCCACACCUUCUGAUUUUCAUACUGGUGGAGUGACCACUGUGGAGGGGAGAGGUGCAUGCUCGAGUGAGAACUGGCAAGGCAGAGCUGCUAUGUUCCCUUAUCGCCGAAGGUGGACUGGAGGACAUGAAGAAUAAGAUGGCUGAGAAUGUGCUGUCCUCCAUGUGGAACUUCCUCAUCUAGGUGGCUCUGCUGAGAAUUACUUCAUUUAUUUUGAAGAAAUUGGACUGUAUAUGAAGAUGUGGAGUCACAUGGAAAUACAUGACAUGAAGAAACUGGCUACAGUUUCCUAUCUGUAAAUGAAUUGGCUCAGAAAGCUAUGAGAACUGCUCAGACAAAAACUUCCACUUGCAACAA